GAUGAACGCUAGCUACAGGCUUAACACAUGCAAGUCGAGGGGCAGCGGGAUUGAAGCUUGCUUCAAUUGCCGGCGACCGGCGCACGGGUGAGUAACGCGUAUCCAACCUUCCGUACACUCAGGGAUAGCCUUUCGAAAGAAAGAUUAAUACCUGAUGGUAUCUUAAGCACACAUGUAAUUAAGAUUAAAGAUUUAUCGGUGUACGAUGGGGAUGCGUUCCAUUAGGUAGUAGGCGGGGUAACGGCCCACCAAGACUACGAUGGAUAGGGGUUCUGAGAGGAAGGUCCCCCACAUUGGAACUGAGACACGGACCAAACUCCUACGGGAGGCAGCAGUGAGGAAUAUUGGUCAAUGGACGCAAGUCUGAACCAGCCAUGCCGCGUGCAGGAAGACGGCUCUAUGAGUUGUAAACUGCUUUUGACAGGGUAAACNCUCUUACGUGUAAGAGCCCUGAAAGUAUCGUACGAAUAAGGAUCGGCUAACUCCGUGCCAGCAGCC
rnacentral:rRNA from 1 species